UGGGAUGAUGAAUUGUAACAGCUUGAUACGCCAGUUCUGCUUCAGAUAAUUCUUGAUCGAAAAAGCUGUAUUCUUAUCCGAGCCUUUCAUUGCUAUUUUGUCUUUCUUCUGAGU